CCGUGCUAGGCGGGGAGGUAGCGGUGCCCUGUACCCGCAAUCCGCUAUAGCGGGGCUGAAGGCUGCCCGAGGGUUUACCUUGUGAGGACCGGCCCCGGCAAGUAGCAAUGAGAUUUGGGUCUUGCGCAGCGGAGACUCCCGAACCGUGUCAGGUCCGGAAGGAAGCAGCACUAAGGGAAAUCCCUCCGGGUGCCGCAAGGGUGCCUGAAUCGAGCCAACUACCGGGGUAACGCUCGUACGAUAAACUCGACGGCAGUUGCACGG
rnacentral:SRP_RNA from 1 species